rnacentral:rRNA from 1 species
CCUACGGGUGGCAGCAGUGGGGGAUAUUGCACAAUGGGGGAAACCCUGAUGCAGCGACGCCGCGUGAGUGAAGAAGUAUUUCGGUAUGUAAAGCUCUAUCAGCAGGGAAGAAAAUGACAGUACCUGACCAAGAAGCCCCGGCUCACUACGUGCCAGCAGCCGCGGUAAUCCGUAGGGGGCAAGCGUUAUCCGGUUUUACUGGGGGUAAAGGGAGCGUAGGGGGGUAUGUAGGUCUGGAGUGAAGUCCCGGGGGCCAACCCCGGGACUGCUUUGGAAACUGUGUACCUGGAGUACAGGAGAGGCAGGCGGAAUUCCUGGUGUAGCGGUGAAAUGCGUAGAUAUCAGGAGGAACACCGGCGGCGAAGGCGGCCUGCUGGACUGAAACUGACGUUGAGGCUCGAAAGCGUGGGGAGCGAACAGGAUUAGAUACCCGAGUAGUC